CCUACGGGAGGCUGCAGUGGGGAAUAUUGCACAAUGGGCGCAAGCCUGAUGCAGCCAUGCCGCGUGUAUGAAGAAGGCCUUCGGGUUGUAAAGUACUUUCAGUCGUGAGGAAGGUGUUAAGGUUAAUAACCUUAGCAAUUGACGUUAGCGACAGAAGAAGCACCGGCUAACUCCGUCCCAGCAGCCGCGGUAAUUCGGAGGGUGCGAGCGUUAAUCGGAAUUACUGGGCGUAAAGGGCACGCAGGCGGUUAAUGAAGUUGGAUGGGAAAAGCCCGGGCUUAGCCUGGGAAUGGCAUUCAAGACUGGUUAGAUGGAGUCUUGUAGAGGGGGGUAGAAUUCCAUGUGGAGCGGUGAAAUGCGUAGAGAUGUGGAGGAAUACCGGUGGCGAAGGCGGCCCCCUGGACAAAGAAUGACGCUCAUGUGCGAAAGCGUGGAGAGCAAACAGGAUUAGAUACCCUUGUAGUC
rnacentral:rRNA from 1 species